rnacentral:rRNA from 1 species
UACGAAGGGGGCUAGCGUUGCUCGGAAUCACUGGGCGUAAAGCGCACGUAGGCGGAUCUUUAAGUCAGGGGUGAAAUCCCGAGGCUCAACCUCGGAACUGACUUUGAUACUGGGGAUCUCGAGUCCGGAAGAGGUUGGUGGAACUCCGAGUGUAGAGGUGAAAUUCGUAGAUAUUCGGAAGAACACCAGUGGCGAAGGCGGCUAACUGGUCCGGUACUGACGCUGAGGUGCGAAAGCGUGGGGAGCAAACAGG